UACGAAGGGGGCUAGCGUUGCUCGGAAUUACUGGGCGUAAAGGGCGCGUAGGCGGCUCUGUGAGUCAGGCGUGAAAUUCCUGGGCUUAACCUGGGGACUGCGCUUGAUACUGCGGGGCUUGAGGCCGAGAGAGGGUGGUGGAAUUCCCAGUGUAGAGGUGAAAUUCGUAGAUAUUGGGAAGAACACCGGUGGCGAAGGCGACCACCUGGCUCGGUACUGACGCUGAGGCGCGACAGCGUGGGGAGCAAACAGGAUUAGAUACCCUGGUAGUCCACGCCGUAAACGAUGUGUGCUGGAUGUUGGGGUUCCUAGAAUCUCAGUGUCGUAGCUAACGCGGUAAGCACACCGCCUGGGGAGUACGGCCGCAAGGUUGAA
rnacentral:rRNA from 1 species